UGGGGAAUAUUGCACAAUGGGCGCAAGCCUGAUGCAGCGACGCCGCGUGGGGGAUGACGGCCUUCGGGUUGUAAACUCCUUUCAGCCAUGACGAAGCCUCUUUUGGGGUGACGGUAGUGGUAGAAGAAGCACCGGCUAACUACGUGCCAGCAGCCGCGGUAAUACGUAGGGUGCGAGCGUUGUCCGGAAUUACUGGGCGUAAAGAGCUCGUAGGUGGUCUGUCGCGUCAUUUGUGAAAGCCCGGUGCUUAACUCCGGGUUGGCAGGUGAUACGGGCAUGACUGGAGUACUGUAGGGGAGACUGGAAUUCCUGGUGUAGCGGUGAAAUGCGCAGAUAUCAGGAGGAACACCGGUGGCGAAGGCGGGUCUCUGGGCAGUAACUGACGCUGAGGAGCGAAAGCAUGGGUAGCGAACAGGAUUAGAUACCCUGGUAGUCCAUGCCGUAAACGGUGGGCGCUAGGUGUGGGUUUCCUUCCACGGGAUCCGUGCCGUAGCUAACGCAUUAAGCGCCCCGCCUGGGGAGUACGGCCGCAAGGCUAA
rnacentral:rRNA from 1 species